GUAUCAACUUGAGGGCGACUUUUGACUAGCUUGAGGGUGUGAGGAGAAGGGGAGGGACUGCUCAGCUGAGCUGUGCCUCGGGAAGGUCCAUCCUUGGAGGAGGAUUCUAGAUUUAGAGUCAGAUAGUUUCAUCAGCAGUAUCAAGCCUGGGUAACCAUAACAACAAAGCCCGUCAGGUGUCACAGGAGUCCCUCAGAGCAAUGAAAUAACUGUGUGGGUUAUAAAAAGAGAUGUCCUGGCCUGGAGGAGCUUACAGACGUGGGGAACAAGAGGACAAGCAGCCUGUGCAUACAGGGGAGCAAGUGAGGCCUGUGUUAUUCAAUGAAGAUAAAGGUUUAAAAUCCUAAAAUCCUGACAAGAGACUUGUAUAAGGGAAGUUGAAAAUGGCUGACUAUGGAGUCACGAAUUUAGACCCUAAAAGAAAUUUUGGGUGUUCAGUGGCAGAGAGAGAAAGAGAUAAGAAUUUCAGCAUGACUUGUGUCAAUGUCCUUUUGACUUAUGUGGUAUUUUGUGGUGUUAGUGAAUAAUAGGGAGAUGCUUGGGAGAGCAUUGGUUUGAUCCUGGCUGGGAAAAGUGGGCCGAUACUCCACUCUGAAAGCAUGGUUUUCCUGAGAUGUUUGCUUUGGGGCUCUUUCUCUCUUCUUGCCCAACCAAGGUGUUAGUUUCUUCAUUGUUCCUGUCUAAAGAGCUUGGCCAGAGAGGUUCUGGUUUUUUGCUCCAUUCCACACCCGAGGCAAGAGUGGGGCUCAAAAAAGUGCAAGCUUGCUCCUGUGGAACAGCUUAAAACAGAUGUGACCUCGCUUUGAAAUCCGAUGAACACAAUAGACCUCCUGAGAUCAGAUGUUCAGUUCUCUU